rnacentral:rRNA from 1 species
CCUACGGGUGGCUGCAGUGGGGAAUAUUGGACAAUGGGCGAAAGCCUGAUCCAGCCAUGCCGCGUGUGUGAAGAAGGCCUUCGGGUUGUAAAGCACUUUCAGUGGGGAAGAAAGCCUUGGGGCUAAUACCCUCGAGGAAGGACAUCACCCACAGAAGAAGCACCGGCUAACUCCGUGCCAGCAGCCGCGGUAAUACGGAGGGUGCGAGCGUUAAUCGGAAUUACUGGGCGUAAAGCGCGCGUAGGCGGUCUGAUAAGCCGGUUGUGAAAGCCCCGGGCUCAACCUGGGAACGGCAUCCGGAACUGUCAGGCUAGAGUGCAGGAGAGGAAGGUAGAAUUCCCGGUGUAGCGGUGAAAUGCGUAGAGAUCGGGAGGAAUACCAGUGGCGAAGGCGGCCUUCUGGACUGACACUGACGCUGAGGUGCGAAAGCGUGGGUAGCAAACAGGAUUAGAACCCGAGUAGUC